GAUGAACGCUGGCGGCGUGCUUAACACAUGCAAGUCGAACGGACCCUGUCUUUCGAGAUAAGGGUUAGUGGCAGACGGGUGCGUAACACGUAGGUGACCUGCCCUGGAGUGGGGAAUAACUAUUCUAACGAAUAGCUAAUACCGCAUACGGUCGGCGAUUCAGUUCGUCGAGUAAAGCUCCCGUAAGGGAGCGCUUUGGGAUGGGCCUGCGGCGGAUUAGGUAGUUGGUGGGGUAAAGGCCUACCAAGCCGAUGAUCCGUAGGGGGCGUGAGAGCGUGGCCCCCCACACUGGCACUGAGAUACGGGCCAGACUCCUACGGGAGGCAGCAGUGAGGAAUAUUGCACAAUGGGCGCAAGCCUGAUGCAGCAACGCCGCGUGAGGGACGAAGGCCUUCGGGUUGUAAACCUCUUUUCUGGGGGACGAGACAAGGACGGUACCUCAGGAAUAAGUCUCGGCUAACUACGUGCCAGCAGCCGCGGUAAAACGUAGGAGGCGAGCGUUAUCCGGAUUUAUUGGGCGUAAAGCGCGCGCAGGCGGCUUCGUUAGUCGGACGUGAAAGCUCCUGGCUUAACUGGGAGAGGCCGUUCGAUACUGCGAGGCUUGAGGUUGGGAGAGGGGUGUGGAAUUCCCGGUGUAGUGGUGGAAUGCGUAGAUAUCGGGAGGAACACCAGUGGCGAAGGCGGCACCCUGGCCCAUACCUGACGCUGAGGCGCGAAAGCGUGGGUAGCAAACAGGAUUAGAUACCCUGGUAGUCCACGCUGUAAACGAUGUCAACUAGGUGUCGGUGGUUUUACGCUAUCGGUGCCGUAGCUAACGCGUUAAGUUGACCGCCUGGGGACUACGGCCGCAAGGCUAAAACUCAAAGGAAUUGACGG
rnacentral:rRNA from 1 species